AUGCAGUCGAGCGGGGGAAGGUAGCUUGCUACCGGACCUAGCGGCGGACGGGUGAGUAAUGCUUAGGAAUCUGCCUAUUAGUGGGGGACAACAUCUCGAAAGGGAUGCUAAUACCGCAUACGUCCUACGGGAGAAAGCAGGGGAUCUUCGGACCUUGCGCUAAUAGAUGAGCCUAAGUCGGAUUAGCUAGUUGGUGGGGUAAAGGCCUACCAAGGCGACGAUCUGUAGCGGGUCUGAGAGGAUGAUCCGCCACACUGGGACUGAGACACGGCCCAGACUCCUACGGGAGGCAGCAGUGGGGAAUAUUGGACAAUGGGGGGAACCCUGAUCCAGCCAUGCCGCGUGUGUGAAGAAGGCCUUAUGGUUGUAAAGCACUUUAAGCGAGGAGGAGGCUACUUUAGUUAAUACCUAGAGAUAGUGGACGUUACUCGCAGAAUAAGCACCGGCUAACUCUGUGCCAGCAGCCGCGGUAAUACAGAGGGUGCGAGCGUUAAUCGGAUUUACUGGGCGUAAAGCGUGCGUAGGCGGCUUAUUAAGUCGGAUGUGAAAUCCCCGAGCUUAACUUGGGAAUUGCAUUCGAUACUGGUGAGCUAGAGUAUGGGAGAGGAUGGUAGAAUUCCAGGUGUAGCGGUGAAAUGCGUAGAGAUCUGGAGGAAUACCGAUGGCGAAGGCAGCCAUCUGGCCUAAUACUGACGCUGAGGUACGAAAGCAUGGGGAGCAAACAGGAUUAGAUACCCUGGUAGUCCAUGCCGUAAACGAUGUCUA
rnacentral:rRNA from 1 species